AGAGUUGAUCAUGGCUCAGGACGAACGCUGGCGGCAUGCCUAACACAUGCAAGUCGAACGGGGGUAGCAAUACCCUAGUGGCGAACGGGUGAGUAACACAUAAGCAAUCUGCCCUUCACAGGGGGAUAACAGCGGGAAACUGCUGCUAAUACCGCAUAAGACCACGGUACCGCAUGGUACAGGGGUAAAAACGAAUCAGUGGUGAAGGAUGAGCUUAUGUCCCAUUAGCUAGUUGGCGAGAUAACAGCCCACCAAGGCGACGAUGGGUAGCCGACCUGAGAGGGUGAUCGGCCACACUGGAACUGAGACACGGUCCAGACUCCUACAGGAGGCAGCAGUGGGGAAUAUUGGGCAAUGGAGGAAAAACCUCUUACCCAGCAAUGCCGCGUGAGUGAAGAAGGUCUUCGGAUUGUAAAGCUCUUUGAUUGGGGACGAAGAAAGUGACGGUACCCAAAGAACAAGCCCCGGCUAACUACGUGCCAGCAGCCGC
rnacentral:rRNA from 1 species